CGAUUGAUUCGACCCCUUUUGGGAUGGUGAGUGGGGUUUGUUCAAGAAUCCUGAAAGGAUCAGCCUCUGGUGGAAACAUUAUGUCCCAUAUGGGGCGGUUGUAUGGCAUCAGUGCCUCAGUUUUUGAUGGAAGAAAGGCAAUAACCAUUGCUAAAACAAGAAAACUCAUAAAGCUAACUGUUGUUUUCACCAUUUUUUUUCCCCUAGAAGUACACUGGCUUUUUUUCCGAAGAAUUGUGUAUGUUGGAGAUUGUUUAUGGAUUGCAAGG
rnacentral:lncRNA from 1 species